rnacentral:rRNA from 1 species
AGAGUUUGAUCCUGGCUCAGGAUGAACGCUAGCGACAGGCUUAACACAUGCAAGUCGAGGGGCAGCGCGGGGCGGCAACGUCCUGGCGGCGACCGGCGGAAGGGUGCGUAACGCGUGAGCGACAUGCCCGUUGCCCGGGGACAACCGGUGGAAACGCCGACUAAUCCCCGAUGGGAUAUUGUGCCGCAUGGCACGAUAUUGAAAGUUACGGCGGCGACGGAUUGGCUCGCGUCCGAUUAGCUUGUUGGCGGGGUAACGGCCCACCAAGGCGACGAUCAGUAGGGGUUCUGAGAGGAAGGUCCCCCACAUUGGAACUGAGACACGGUCCAAACUCCUACGGGAGGCAGCAGUGAGGAAUAUUGGUCAAUGGGCGGAAGCCUGAACCAGCCAUGCCGCGUGCGGGAAGGAGGCCCUAUGGGCUGUGAACCGCUUUUGCCUGGGGGCAAUAAGGGCGUCGCGCACGUCCGAUGAGAGUACCAGGCGAAUAAGCAUCGGCUAACUCCGUGCCAGCAGCCGCGGUAAUACGGAGGGUGCAAGCGUUAAUCGGAAUAACUGGGCGUAAAGGGCAUGCAGGCGGUUCAUCAAGUAGGAUGUGAAAUCCCCGGGCUCAACCUGGGAACAGCAUACUAAACUGGUGGACUAGAGUAUUGCAGGGGGAGACGGAAUUCCAGGUGUAGCGGUGGAAUGCGUAGAUAUCUGGAAGAACACCAAAGGCGAAGGCAGUCUCCUGGGCAAAUACUGACGCUCAUAUGCGAAAGCGUGGGUAGCAAACAGGAUUAGAUACCCUGGUAGUCCACACCGUAAACGAUGAUUACUAGGUGUUGGAGGAUUGACCCCUUCAGUGCCGCAGUUAACACAAUAAGUAAUCCACCUGGGGAGUACGACCGCAAGGUUGAAACUCAAAGGAAUUGACGGGGGCCCGCACAAGCAGUGGAGUAUGUGGUUUAAUUCGACGCAACGCGAAGAACCUUACCAAGUCUUGACAUCCCUUGACAGACAUAGAAAUAUGUAAUCUCUUCGGAGCAAGGAGACAGGUGGUGCAUGGUUGUCGUCAGCUCGUGUCGUGAGAUGUUGGGUUAAGUCCCGCAACGAGCGCAACCCCCGCCGCGUGUUGCCAUCGGGUGAUGCCGGGAACCCACGCGGGACCGCCGCCGUCAAGGCGGAGGAGGGCGGGGACGACGUCAAGUCAUCAUGCCCCUUAUGCCCUGGGCUGCACACGUGCUACAAUGGCCGGUACAGAGGGAUGCCACCCCGCGAGGGGGAGCGGAUCCCGGAAAGCCGGCCCCAGUUCGGAUUGGGGGCUGCAACCCGCCCCCAUGAAGUCGGAGUUGCUAGUAAUCGCGGAUCAGCAUGCCGCGGUGAAUGCGUUCCCGGGCCUUGUACACACCGCCCGUCACACCACCCGAGUCGUCUGCACCCGAAGUCGCCGGCCCAACCGAGAGGGGGGAGGCGCCGAAGGUGUGGAGGGUGAGGGGGGUGAAGUCGUAACAAGGUAGCCGUACCGGAAGGUGCGGCUG